UACCGAGUUUACAACUCCCAAACCCAAUGUGAACGUUACCAAACUGUUGCCUCGGCGGGAUCUCUGCCCCGGGUGCGUCGCAGCCCCGGACCAAGGCGCCCGCCGGAGGACCAACCAAAACUCUUAUUGUAUACCCCCUCGCGGGUUUUUUUAUAAUCUGAGCCUUCUCGGCGCCUCUCGUAGGCGUUUCGAAAAUGAAUCAAAACUUUCAACAACGGAUCUCUUGGUUCUGGCAUCGAUGAAGAACGCAGCGAAAUGCGAUAAGUAAUGUGAAUUGCAGAAUUCAGUGAAUCAUCGAAUCUUUGAACGCACAUUGCGCCCGCCAGUAUUCUGGCGGGCAUGCCUGUCCGAGCGUCAUUUCAACCCUCGAACCCCUCCGGGGGGUCGGCGUUGGGGAUCGGCCCUGCCUUGGCGGUGGCCGUCUCCGAAAUACAGUGGCGGUCUCGCCGCAGCCUCUCCUGCGCAGUAGUUUGCACACUCGCAUCGGGAGCGCGGCGCGUCCACAGCCGUUAAACACCCAACUUCUGAAAUGUUGACCUCGGAUCAGGUAGGAAUACCCG
rnacentral:rRNA from 1 species